GGCCAUCCGUUGGGGUGCCGCAUGCGGCUGAGAGACCUCUGGUCAACCCAUCGAACCUGAUCCGGUCAGCACCGGCGGAGGGAACGGAGAUUUGACAGGG
rnacentral:ncRNA from 1 species